AAGUAAUGCUGUCUUCAGUUAGAACAGAGCUUGGAAGUGUUCCUUCCUCUUGAAUUGUUUGAAAUAGUCUGAGAAUAGGUUUUUGUUCUUCAUUGAAUGUUUGGUAAAACUCUCCUGUUAAGCCGUCUGGU